AGACUUUGAUCCUAGCUCAGAACGAACGCUGGCGGCAUGCCUAACACAUGCAAGUCGAACGAGACCUUCGGGUCUAGUGGCGCACGGGUGCGUAACGCGUGGGAAUCUGCCCUUGGGUUCGGAAUAACAGUUAGAAAUGACUGCUAAUACCGGAUGAUGUCUUCGGACCAAAGAUUUAUCGCCCAGGGAUGAGCCCGCGUCGGAUUAGCUAGUUGGUAUGGUAACCCCCUACCAAGGCGACGAUCCGUAGCUGGUCUGAGAGGAUGAUCAGCCACACUGGGACUGAGACACGGCCCACACUCCUACCGGAGGCACCCGUGGGGACCAUUGGACCAAGGCGCACACCCU
rnacentral:rRNA from 1 species